AAUGGCUGCAGUAAUAUAACUGUACAAAGGUAGCAUAAUCAUUAGUUUUUUAAUUAAAAGCUUGUAUGAAAGGUUGGACGAAGUAAAAUCUGUCUCUUUUUAAUAUAAUUAGAAUUUAAUUUUUAAGUAAAAAAGCUUAAAUUUAUAUAAAAGACGAGAAGACCCUAUAGAGUUUAAUAAUUUAUUUUAAAUAAUUAAUUUAGAUUUAUUUAUUUUAUUUAUUAUAUAAUUAUUUUAUUGGGGUAAUAAAAAGAUUAAUAUAAUUCUUUUUUUUAUAUAACAUUAAUAUAUGAAUUAAAUGAUCCAUUUUUUAUGAUUAAAAGAUUAAAUUACCUUAGGGAUAACAGCGUAAUUUUUUUAAAGAGUUCAUAUCGAUAAAAAAGUUUGCGACCUCGAUGUUGGAUUAAAGAUUAAUUUAGGUGUAGAAGUUUAAAUUUUUGGUCUGUUCGACCAUUAAAUCUUUACAUGAUCUGAGUUCAAACCGGUGUAAGCCAGGUUGGUUUCUAUCUUUAUAAAAUUUUUAUAUUUUAGUACGAAAGGACCAAAUAUUUAAUAUAUAAAUAUUUAAUUAUUUUGAAUAU
rnacentral:rRNA from 3 species